UACGUAGGUGGCGAGCGUUGUCCGGAUUUACUGGGCGUAAAGGGCGUGCAGGCGGUUUGUUAAGUGCAGGGUGAAAGCUCCCGGCUCAACUGGGAGAGGUCCUUGCAUACUGGCGAACUCGAGGGAGGCAGAGGAAAGUGGAAUUCCCGGUGUAGUGGUGAUAUGCGUAGAUAUCGGGAGGAACACCUGUGGCGAAGGCGACUACCUGGCCUGUUUCUUGACGCUGAGGCGCGAAAGCUAGGGGAGCAAACGGG
rnacentral:rRNA from 1 species